UAGGUAUCACUCGGGUCUAAACUGAGGUCACCUAGCUAAUAAUCCAUUAAUAUUCGUAUCAUGAGGUGAAAUGUCUUCACCGUGGAAGCAACUGGAGCGCCGUCUUCCUUCAUUACCCGGCAACUCAUCCCACUCCCAGUCUGUUUUUGCAUUGAACCGAAGUGAAACAUUUGAAUCGACACAAUCCGCUCCUCCACAAACCCAGGGGAGACCCCAUUCAACACGGGAAAGAAGUGACGGAACGGAUAGAUCUAUGGCGCACCAAAUCAUUCCAGGUAUUCUUGCCACACCCCGGGAAAUCAAACGCUACCUGGCUGAAAACCCUUGGCUGGUAGAAGAGCAUGUGAAGGAUAACUUCAGCCUGGAUGAUGUACAGAAAUGGUUCAAGGAGGAGAGUAGGCCCAAAGG